rnacentral:rRNA from 1 species
AUUGAACGCUGGCGGAAUGCUUUACACAUGCAAGUCGAACGGCAGCACGGGUGCUUGCACCUGGUGGCGAGUGGCGAACGGGUGAGUAAUAUAUCGGAACGUAUCCAAUAAUGGGGGAUAACUAAUCGAAAGGUUGGCUAAUACCGCAUACGCCCUACGGGGGAAAGCUAGGGACCUUCGGGCCUGGCGUUAAUGGAGCGGCCGAUAUCUGAUUAGCUAGUUGGUGGGGUAAUGGCCUACCAAGGCGACGAUCAGUAGCUGGUCUGAGAGGACGACCAGGCACACUGGAACUGAGACACGGUCCAGACUCCUACGGGAGGCAGCAGUGGGGAAUUUUGGACAAUGGGCGCAAGCCUGAUCCAGCCAUUCCGCGUGAGUGAAGAAGGCCUUCGGGUUGUAAAGCUCUUUCGCAAGGGAAGAAAACUUAUCCUCUAACAUAGGAUGAGGUUGACGGUACCUUGAUAAGAAGCACCGGCUAACUACGUGCCAGCCGCCGCAGUAACAC